GGUGUUUGGAGAUACACUGUCAAGGUGACUAAUAAACUUUCUUACUUUUACAAUGUACAAUGCAUAUAUAAGUUAAUAUUAUGUACUUCUGUGUUAGGAAAGUGCGCCUUUGCUUUGGUCUUGCUGUUGUUAUGAGGUCCAUUUGUAAAGAGCACGGUCCCAUCCUUCCAUUAUCAUGGUCCCAUUAGGUAAAUGAAGUUACUAUAGUUGAGAGCAUGGAUAUGCCCCUUCCAAAGCUCUAUGCUAGCUUCUUUGUUUUAUAGUAUUUAACAAAAUUCUUCAUCAACAGUUUGAAUACUUGUUUGUUUUAUAGUAUUUCGCAGAAUUCUUCAUCAACAGUUAGAAUAACAAUGUCCUAAGCAAUUUGGAUGACUCAUAUUAUUGAAUCGAUCCAUGUUUAAGCUAAAUUGUUAUGGAUUGAACUUUGAGGAGCUCAAUCCAUAUAGCUAAAUUGAUGUUAUUUAGUUACGAAAUUAGAGAAAAGUGGGAUGCUCCUUUUCUGACUAGGUGCAUACUUUCACUUGAUUUCUAUAUUUUAAAUGCUCCCCGCCUGUUGCUAAGAACAUAUAGCCAUGUGAUUUUUCUUGCUAAUUUUCUGUCAUUUAAGAGUUCUAUUUUGCUCUGUUCCUAUAGUAACCAUUUGGGACUUGGAUACAAAGUUUUGUCCUGGGCGGUUGAAUUUAUAAGGACAUGAUAUCUUGCCAUUAUGCAACCUAUACCAUGCUUGUGUCAUGGCAGUAUUAACCCCUCCAUCUACUCUUUGUUGCUGAAGAAACCAGUAGUUGUAUUCAUUGCAUGUCAGCUGGUCUACGACUUCCAUAAGUUUGCAUCAUUUUUUUUGAGUACUUUGCUGUUAGUAACUUCAACAAGACUAUAAAAAAAUGUUGGAUCUACAGGGGGCAACACAUAACCAGCGAUAAUGAGGUGCCGUUGGCCAUGGGUGCAGUUGUCCACAGCUAGGGGUGGGAUUGUUAGUUUGUUACAACAUAUGGAUGAUAUGCACAUGGAAGGUGCUCUAAUAAUCCCCACUAUUAUUUAUUUGUAUCAUCUGCUAAUGGUUUUGUAUUUGAAAAUGAAUAUUAUCCUUGUUUCUUAUAUACGCAGGCUGAUAUAAACAAGCUAUAAUUGUUUGGGCUAUGAUUCGCAACAUAGAUUGGGGAUUUUAAAAUGUCAGACAAGAAAGUUAUCGGCCUAGUAGGUUCAGAUUCAGUUCUAUUUUUUAAAAUUUUCUUUUCUGUUACAAAAUCAUUUUUUGAUACUUUUCUCCCUUUUAUGUCAUAAAUCAGAUAAGUAUCUCAGUGUUUUAUAUGCAAUGUUACACAUUUGUUCAAGACAAAAAAAAAUUCAUAUAUUGAGUUUACUUACAAACCUUUGGUUGAGAUGAAAGUUUACAUCUGAUGUCAUUCCACUAGGACUCUGAAAUAGUCCCAAAAAAUGUUGUAUUACCUCUCUCUUGGUAACUAAUAUUUGUAUGGUGUGAUUUCUGGAAUUCACGAUCUAAGAUCUAAAUAGUCUGAUUCAUGUUGUCAAUAUCUUAUCGAGGUCUUGACUGACUAAUCUUGAGUAUGAUUUUAUUUGGUUUGGUGUUUAUAUUAUGUAAUGCUCAAGUCUUUCACCUGAAAAUAUUAUUAAUUGAUCGAAUUAAUCUAAGUUUAGUUCUUGAUGAUUAUUUUGUGGGACUAGAAAACAAAGUUUUUAUGUUUGUACUUUGUAGGAAUUAUUAUUAAUGAAGUAUUCUUUCUUCUUAUCUCUCAUUGGUUUUGCUUGUUAGAACAACAAUUGUCAUUACAAAGCAUCUCUAUGUCUCUCUCUAACCGUUACUAUUUCCACUGUCUUGGCUUGCAGGUCGUCGCUUGAGUCGGAUGAGGUCAUGGUUACUUUACCUGAUGAGUUACUGCCCAGGAAGAGCACAAUCCACCACCGCUAUAUAGCAGAUGGAGCUACCAAGGACGUCGUCAUAUUGACCACCGAUGACCUACAUCCUUUCGCUUCCCCUCAUGUUUUGCAGAAUAGAAGUGGCCUGAAAGCCACUUGAAUGAAAUCUUGUGUCUUGCGAUGUGUCAAUGCCAUGAAUUAGAUGUUUGUAGUAUAUUUUUUUAAUUGAAAUGUUUACCUGUGAUAUUGAGCACAGUACAUUAGUGCAUGGAUCAGCAUUGCAGUUUCAACUCUUUUGAUGUAUGGUGAUCUAUGUUUUGUGCAGACUAACAAGGCUUUGUAGUGAAUUUUUAUAGGUCACAUGCGACAAGUUGCCCUUCGUAUGUUAAUCUUGAUACUUUGUACUGAAUUUUUAUGCGAACCAUUUAUUUGUCCGGAUUGUCUUAUAUCGUAAAUCUUGAUGUCUUCUGCUAAAUCUUGAUGCUCUCUG
rnacentral:lncRNA from 1 species